rnacentral:tRNA from 1 species
GGGGCUGUAGCUCAGCCAGGUCAGAGCGCCAGCCUGUCACGCUGGAGGUCGCGGGUUCAAGUCCCGUCAGCCCCGCCA